UGAGGUAGACCUAAUGAGCAUUGAGGUCGGUAUCUGUUGAGGUAGAUGUGAUGAGCAUUGAGGUCGGUAUCUGUUGAGGUAGACGUGAUGAGCAUUGAGGUCGGUAUCUGUUGAGGUAGACCUAAUGAGCAUUGAGGUCGGUAUCUGUUGAGGUAGAAGUGAUGAGCAUUGAGGUCGGUAUCUGUUGAGGUAGACCUAAUGAGCAUUGAGGUCGGUAUCUGUUGAGGUAGACCUAAUGAGCAUUGAGGUCGGUAUCUGUUGAGGUAGAUGUAAUGAGAAUUGAGGUCGGUAUCUGUUGAGGUAGACGUGAUGAGCAUUGAGGUCGGUAUCUGUUGAGGUAGACGUGAUGAACACUUAGAAACAAUGAUGCUAUUGGUCGCAUCAUUAUUGCCAAAAGUUGGUAGAUCAUUUCUGUUAAAAGAUACUGACAGAUUUUCUUGCUCAUAUCCUACCUUUAUUUAAGCACAUCUGGAGUUGGAUAUAAAGGAGGAGACUGACUGACUCACCAUGGAAAAAGUUCUUAUGGUCAGAUGAGACCAAGACAGAGCUUUUUAUCCACCAUUCAAACUUCUAUAUGUAUUGAAAAUGCUGUCCAUAGAACAUCACUUUACCUACAGUGAAGUAUGGUGGUGGCAGCAACACUUAACAGGAGUGCCUUUGAACAUCAGAAUCUGAGAAUUUUGUUAGAUUUGUAGGAAAAAUUGAUGGAGGAAAACACAAUGCUAAAAAAGCUGAAGCUUGGGAGAAAGUUUCACAUUACAUUACAGCAGGGCACUGAUGAAAGGCAAUUUUAAAGUGGCUGAAAAACAAAAACUUUAAGAUCCAACAGUGGUCCAGCUAAAGACCUUAUUUAAAUAAUUUUGAAAUUCUGUGGCACUAUGUGAUAAUUGCAGUCCACAAGUGAUUCCCAUCCAACCUGAACCACUGG